ensembl:snRNA U6 U6 spliceosomal RNA
GUGCUUGCUUUGGCAGCACAUAUGCUAAAAUUGGAACGAUACAGAGAAGAUUAGCAUGGCCCCUGCACAAGGAUGAUAUGCAAAUUUGUGAAGCAUUCCAUAUUUUU